rnacentral:rRNA from 1 species
GACGAGGGGUCCAAGCGUUGUUCGGAAUCAUUGGGCGUAAAGCGGGUGUAGGCGGCUCUAUAAGUCAGGAGUGAAAGCCCCAAGCUUAACUUUGGGAAGUGCUUUUGAUACUGCAGAGCUUGAAUGUGGGAGAGGGUAGUGGAAUUCCAGGUGUAGUGGUGAAAUACGUAGAUAUCUGGAGGAACACCGGUGGCGAAGGCGACUUACUGGACUGUAACUGACGCUGAGGCAUGAAAGCGUGGGGAGCAAACAGG